rnacentral:rRNA from 1 species
UACGGGGGGAGCAAGCGUUGUUCGGAUUUACUGGGCGUAAAGGGCGCGUAGGCGGCGUGGUAAGUCACUUGUGAAAUCUCCGGGCUUAACUCGGAACGGUCAAGUGAUACUGCUGCGCUAGAGUGCGGAAGGGGCAACUGGAAUUCUCGGUGUAGCGGUGAAAUGCGUAGAUAUCGAGAGGAACACCUGCGGCGAAGGCGGGUUGCUGGGCCGACACUGACGCUGAGGCGCGAAAGCUAGGGGAGCAAACAGG